rnacentral:lncRNA from 1 species
UUGCCUUUCCAAUUUACAUUUUUGCCCUUAUUCCAUCUUCUUAAUUACCAUGCCUCAUGUCCAUUUAUCAUGUUGCCCUUGAGUCUAAUUUAUUUAUUUAUUUUUUUACCCACUAUUUCUCCAAUAUAUAUUUAAAUAUAUUUAAGGAUUUUCUAAAUUAAGUACUAAUUAGUUUCCAAAAUUCUGGAAUGUUACAUGCAACUUGUCUUUAUGCUAAAGCCGAUAGAUGCUGGUCGGGUGUUGGUUUCAGAGAAUUCAAGACAUUGAUUGCAAGUUCAACAACUCACCUUCAUCACGAUUCUUAGUCUUUAGAGCAACUUUGUGUCCUCGCAUAUUGACUUACCUUUUCACAAUUUAGAGUUUUUUUUUUAUAUAACGAAUUGGGGAAAGUAGCAAACAAGCACCUUUU